UACAGAGGGUGCGAGCGUUAAUCGGAGUUACUGGGCGUAAAGGGCGCGUAGGCGGUGAGAUGGGUGUGAUGUGAAAGCCCCGGGCUUAACCCGGGAAGUGCAUCGCAAACUAUCUGACUGGAGUAUAAGAGAGGGUGGCGGAAUUUCCGGUGUAGCGGUGAAAUGCGUAGAGAUCGGAAGGAACGUCGAUGGCGAAGGCAGCCACCUGGCUUAAUACUGACGCUGAGGCGCGAAAGCGUGGGGAG
rnacentral:rRNA from 1 species